CAGCAGCCGCGGUAAUACGAAGGGUGCAAGCGUUAAUCGGAAUUACUGGGCGUAAAGCGUGCGUAGGCGGUGAGUUAAGUCUGCUGUGAAAUCCCCGGGCUCAACCUGGGAAUGGCAGUGGAUACUGGCUCGCUAGAGUGUGUCAGAGGAUGGUGGAAUUCCCGGUGUAGCGGUGAAAUGCGUGGAGAUCGGGGGGAACAUCAGUGGCGAAGGCGGCCAUCUGGGACAACACUGACGCUGAGGCACGAAAGCGUGGGGAGCAAACAGGAUUAGAUACCCCCGUAGUCCCUGUCUCUUAUAC
rnacentral:rRNA from 1 species